UUGAAUGUAGCCAAGUUAGGUAAGGCAACGAAAUUUGAAUUCGUUAAACAGGGGUUCGAAUCCCUUCAUUCAAA